GCACAGUUUAUACCGUAGCUUGCUACCCAUAGACUGUGAGUUGCGAACGGGUGAGUAACGCGUAGGUAACCUACCUAUUAGAGGGGGAUAACUAUUGGAAACGAUAGCUAAUACCGCAUAACAGUAUGUAACACAUGUUAGAUGCUUGAAAGAUGCAAUUGCAUCGCUAGUAGAUGGACCUGCGUUGUAUUAGCUAGUAGGUAGGGUAAUGGCCUACCUAGGCAACGAUACAUAGCCGACCUGAGAGGGUGAUCGGCCACACUGGGACUGAGACACGGCCCAGACUCCUACGGGAGGCAGCAGUAGGGAAUCUUCGGCAAUGGGGGGAACCCUGACCGAGCAACGCCGCGUGAGUGAAGAAGGUUUUCGGACCGUAAAGCUCUGUUGUUAAGGAAGAACGAGUGUGAGAAUGGAAAGUUCAUGCUGUGACGGUACUUAACCAGAAAGGGACGGCUAACUACGUGCCAGCAGCCGCGGUAAUACGUAGGUCCCGAGCGUUGUCCGGAUUUAUUGGGCGUAAAGCGAGCGCAGGCGGUUAGAAAAGUCUGAAGUGAAAGGCAGUGGCUCAACCAUUGUAGGCUUUGGAAACUGUUUAACUUGAGUGCAGAAGGGGAGAGUGGAAUUCCAUGUGUAGCGGUGAAAUGCGUAGAUAUAUGGAGGAACACCGGUGGCGAAAGCGGCUCUCUGGUCUGUAACUGACGCUGAGGCUCGAAAGCGUGGGGAGCGAACAGGAUUAGAUACCCUGGUAGUCCACGCCGUANACGAUGAGUGCUAGGUGUUAGGUCCUUUCCGGGACUUAGUGCCGCAGCUAACGCAUUAAG
rnacentral:rRNA from 1 species